rnacentral:rRNA from 1 species
GUUCUGUGCUUGCUUAGCUCGCGUCGGUCGCGGGGUCAGGUCAUGUGCGUGGGUGUGUCGGUCAGCGGUUCUUGGGAUCGAUCUCGUCGCCGCCGCUGCUGGUUCUGGUUCGCCUCACCGCCUGCCACCCUGCCGCCUCGGCGUCUCCCGCCGACACCUACAGCUUGUUCGCUGUCCCCGCCGACCCGUGUCGGCGCGUUCCGCGCCCGCCGCCGUGCCAGCGGUCGAGGCGCAGGAAGUAUAACAAAAACUCUGGUUUUUUAAGCAACAAAGUAACAAAGAAUAAUAAAAACUGUGUCUGUUUAAGCAGUCUUCCAACUUUCGUCCCACCAAGAAAAGUAUUUUUCGAUUUUUUCCUAUUCGAACAUCGGAUGGUAGAAAAUUAUUUCAGGUUCGGUCAUCUUCUACCUCUCCUUCCCCUUCCCGAUCGUUUCCCCUCUCUAAACUGUUCUAUAAAAACUUCAUGAACCAUCACCGUCACCGAGAUUAGGUCCAUGAGGUAGUUCUAGUUCACUUAAGGCACUUUCUUCUCUUACGUUUAAAAUACGGUCGGCUUGUUCACCUUCUUGUCUAACGUCUAAGUCAACUUCGAUAUCUCCUUCUCUUACAACUUCAAGAUCCUCGACUUCAUUUAGGCGUGCAGUGUACAAGGUUACGCUGUUGUUGCCGUUCAACGAUGUCCUUAAGGCUACCUUUAGUACGCGAAACCUACAAUAACCUGAACCUGUAACAAAAUUUCUUUCGGAGCAGUUCGUGCUUAAAAAGGGCUCCGCUCAACAACCUGUUCUUUCUAAAAAGGUUUCAGAGAUUCGGAGAUUCCAAACACUCAACCUAUGCUCUUCGCGUUCUUUUUAUCGUCCUGUAGGCUCUCCUAAUACCACUAGACAAAGAAACACGUUCAUGAUUCACUGUCACACUAUACCAUAGAAAACACAAAAGGGAAACGAAACGGGGUGGUAAACGAGAAACACUAAGGACGUUUCAGAUAGAAGUCGAAGUGUUCUUAAGACACAGAUUGUAGCUACAACUUUACAAAGUGAUACCAGAACCCAAAAACAUGUAACUAAUA